UUGGAUUGGAGAUCCGCCGGGUAGUCCCGGACGCAGCCGAUGCGAGGCCCCGCGCCGGUGGUCCAUCUGCACGACAGCCGCCUCCCGAGCUCGAACGCCAUUGCUGCCUUCUCCCUGCUUGCGUCGCUUUGCUCCUUUGGUUCCUUAGGUUCUUCGUUCUCGAUUUCGCCUUCGCUCUUAGCCUUCUCCUCCACCGCAGCAACAACCGCUUCGACUGCGACCUCAACAUCGUCAUCCUUCUUGUGUGCAGGGAACUCAUCGUCAUCGACGGAGCACUUCUGAGAAGCAAAAGGCACGAGUGGGUUGGUUAAAUGCCCCAGGUAUGAAUGAUUAGGUAUCACGCAAACGAUUUGAUCUGCUCUGAAAUGGUGCACGGUUCGUAUGGUAGGAGCCCUCUUCGGUGUUCAUAAGAUGCAACAUCAGGGAAGAAGAUGGAUUUACCUUGACAUUGGUGAGGUCUACAUGGUUGUCCCCAAGGAAACUAAUGAACUCCCUAAAAUUAUCUUCUGUCGGGAGGUAGUGUCCGCUGUACGGCCAUAUAGCCUGAGGCAAUCAUCAAAUUGUACCAAGAGUUUUACAUCAGCCUCAACUUUGGCUCCAUCUCAACAUAGGUGGUCUGCAAGUAGGCAAAUCAUACCUCGAUUCUGCCUUCUUUGGCGACCAGCCUUCCUGCAGCUGUCGUAGCUCCCCCAGCUAAAAAGCUCGAGUGUUGGAAUGUGCCUUUGUUCUUCUGUUCAUCCACAAAAGUUUGCUUUAGGAGGCUGAGCUCAUAAGUAUGAACAGUUAGUUCCAAGCAUGGAUAUGAUGUGCACCUUCCCCACAUACAGUGCUCUUGAUGUGCUGAGCACAAAGAUCCACUUGCAACUUUCAGUGGUAUUCACCGGCAUUCCACUUUGUUUGUAGACGAGCUUCCCAUUCUCCACGAUGACUUCGUAUGCUUCCCUCUCUUUCUGCAGGGUGGUGAACACAGUACAAUGUAUGGUCAGAUACACCUUCGCAUCACUCCACCAGAUAAGGUCGGGCUGGAGUGAUCGAACAAGGAGAGCUUACCGGACCAAGAUAGCUGAUGCACUGCUUUUGAAGCUUGCUUCUUGGGCACCUCUCCAGAUUUACUUCUCUUCCGUCUCCGACGUCCAACCUUCACAUUCGACCAAAGGAAGGAACAGGUGAGCAUUUCUCACUGAAAGACUUGUGUCAAUUUCUGUGCUUACCAGUAGAAAAAUGGUUGUGUGCUUUCACUUCCAGACCAGACAUCAUAAUACAAAUGCAAGUUGUGCCCAUAGCGAUGCCGGGGAUCAAUCUGCACGGUGCCUGGUUGUGGAUUAGAUUACCAUAAAGCCAUCUCUCUGUGCUACCAAGGUAGAGGAUACUCACGGCUUCUAACCAAUGUUGCAGUGCUAGCUUCUGAGCCUUUUCAUCUUUGGAGAGGCCCUUACCGACCUGAGAAAAAUGGAUGCACACACAUAUCAUAUUGAUUGGAUAUACAUUGGAACAAUUAUAGAGCUUAUGCGUCAUGACAUAUCAAUCCGAUCGAUUACCCUGGCUGCUCUUCUUUUCGCUCUU
rnacentral:lncRNA from 1 species